rnacentral:rRNA from 1 species
UGAACGUUGGCGGCGUGGAUUAGGCAUGCAAGUCGUGCGAGAAGAGUUUUUUGCUUGCAUUAAACUCGGACAGCGGCGAAAGGGAGAGUAACGUGUGGUUACAUGCCCAGGGGUCCAGGAUAGCGUCGGGAAACUGGCGGUAAUACUGGAUGAUAUCUAAGGAUCAAAGGUGUGAUUCCGCCCUUGGAUUGGACCGCAUACUAUUAGCUUGUUGGUGAGGUAAUGGCUCACCAAGGCUGCGAUGGUUACCGGGUGUGAGAGCAUGGCCCGGCUCACUGGGACUGAGACACUGCCCAGACACCUACGGGUGGCUGCAGUCGAGAAUCUUCGGCAAUGGACGAAAGUCUGACCGAGCGACGCCGCGUGCGGGAUGAAGGCCCUCGGGUUGUAAACCGCUGUCAGUUUGGAGGAAAGGU